UACGGAGGGUGCAAGCAUUAAUCGGAAUUAUUGGGCGUAAAGGGCGCGUAGGCGGAUUUGUAAGUCAGAUGUGAAAUACCGAAGCUUAACUUCGGUGCUGCAUUUGAAACUACAAAUCUAGAGGGUAGACGGAGAAAACGGAAUUCCACGUGUAGCGGUGAAAUGCGUGGAUAUGUGGAAGAACACCGGUGGCGAAAGCGGUUUUCUAGUUUAUACCUGACGCUGAGGCGCGAGAGCAAGGGGAGCAAAC
rnacentral:rRNA from 1 species